rnacentral:rRNA from 1 species
AGUGAACGCUGGCGGUAGGCCUAACACAUGCAAGUCGAACGGCAGCACAGGAGAGCUUGCUCUCUGGGUGGCGAGUGGCGGACGGGUGAGGGAUACAUCGGAAUCUACUUUUUCGUGGGGGAUAACGUAGGGAAACUUACGCUAAUACCGCAUACGACCUACGGGUGAAAGCAGGGGACCUUCGGGCCUUGCGCGAUUGAAUGAGCCGAUGUCGGAUUAGCAAGUUGGCGGGGUAAAGGCCCACCAAGGCGACGAUCCGUAGCUGGUCUGAGAGGAUAAACAGCCACACUGGAACUGAGACACGGUCCAGAUGCCUACGGGAGGCAGCAGGGGGGAAUAUUGGACAAUGGGCGCAAGCCUGAUCCAGCCAUACCGCGUGGGUGAAGAAGGCCUUCGGGUUGUAAAGCCCUUUUGUUGGGAAAGAAAUCCAGCUGGCUAAUACCCGGUUGGGAUGACGGUACCCAAAGAAUAAGCACCGGCUAACUUCGUGCCAGCAGCCGCCGUAA